CUUAUGAAUAAUUUGAUUGAUAAAUUAACAUAAUCCACCAAGUUUAAAUUGUUAACAGAGUGAUUUAUUGAAAAAUGUGUGUUUUAAUUAUAUCUCUAUGCUUUUUGGAGUUCUAAUAAGAGAUUGACAACAAUAAACAUGAGGAGAGACUAAAAAAAAAACCAAGAUUUACGAGUACUCGAAAAAUUUGGGAGGCCAGGCCUCCUUGCUUAUCACUUGUGUCCAUCCCCGAUUGGUGUUAGCUUGAACAAGCUAUACCGCUUGAUGUAGUGGAGUUAUUUAGCUUGAGCUUCUCAUGGGUCUAGUGGGUUUGCUAUGCUCAAAAGCAGGGAUUAUUUGCUUGGGUCGUUUGUAUCUCUGAAGUCUGCUUUUACACUACGAUCGGAAAGGUUUAAGGCUAUGAAUUUGCCAGAAAGCUCUGCUGGCGGUACCUUUUUGAAGACAUAGAGUUAUGCUUUCUUCUUGUGAUGUGGAGACUAAAGGUCCAAAGUCAAUAGCCUAUAAUUCUGCAACCAAAUAUAGAAGAAGAGAAUCCAUGAAUCCAUUUGCCUAUUGCGAAGAAUACCUCCACCACUAGCAGCUCUUGGAUUAGGAAUACAGGUACCGUCGACGUUGAUCUUUAUCCAACCUCGAGGAGGAGCAUCUACCCAACAAAAGGAGCAAGACUCCGAGAGUUUACAAGAAGGCCUCUUUGUAAGAGAAGCGAAUUCAAUAGCCAACUCAUAAAUGUGUUCCAACACCAAUGCGACAGGCAUCUGGUUGAUUGGUUCCACACUUUCACAUCUCCAUUUCCAGACUUGCUCGAUAUUUGAUCAGGUUCUAGAUCAAGCAUCAAGCAUUAUAACCCUCUUUCCAAGUACAAAUUCCUUUAGCAGAACAACUCCAAAUAAUUUGAUCAUUGAUUGUCGCAAAAAUAAGAGAGGCACUGCACAAAUAAGCCGUUUCAGAGGAAGCUGAAAUCCUCUUUUUAAUUACCUGAAUUAAUUAAAAUAGAAAUAAGGUCAUAUUGACUCGAAUUAAUUUUUAUGCAAGGCAGAGCUUAUAAUGGUUAGUGUAAUAUAGACGAGAUUUUUCCA